UGUUUCGGCUAGGGGGCCAUCCCGGCUUACCAACCCGAUGCAAACUGCGAAUACCGGAGAAUGUUAUCACGGGAGACACACGGCGGGUGCUAACGUCCGUCGUGAAGAGGGAAACAACCCAGACCGCCAGCUAAGGUCCCAAAGUCAUGGUUAAGUGGGAAACGAUGUGGGAAGGCCCAGACAGCCAGGAUGUUGGCUUAGAAGCAGCCAUCAUUUAAAGAAAGCGUAAUAGCUCACUGGUCGAGUCGGCCUGCGCGGAAGAUGUAACGGGGCUAAACCAUGCACCGAAGCUGCGGCAGCGACACUGUGUGUUGUUGGGUAGGGGAGCGUUCUGUAAGCCUGUGAAGGUGGCCUGUGAGGGUUGCUGGAGGUAUCAGAAGUGCGAAUGCUGACAUAAGUAACGAUAAAGCGGGUGAAAAGCCCGCUCGCCGGAAGACCAAGGGUUCCUGUCCAACGUUAAUCGGGGCAGGGUGAGUCGACCCCUAAGGCGAGGCCGAAAGGCGUAGUCGAUGGGAAACAGGUUAAUAUUCCUGUACUUGGUGUUACUGCGAAGGGGGGACGGAGAAGGCUAUGUUGGCCGGGCGACGGUUGUCCCGGUUUAAGCGUGUAGGCUGGUUUUCCAGGCAAAUCCGGAAAAUCAAGGCUGAGGCGUGACGACGAGGCACUACGGUGCUGAAGCAACAAAUGCCCUGCUUCCAGGAAAAGCCUCUAAGCAUCAGGUAACAUCAAAUCGUACCCCAAACCGACACAGGUGGUCAGGUAGAGAAUACCAAGGCGCUUGAGAGAACUCGGGUGAAGGAACUAGGCAAAAUGGUGCCGUAACUUCGGGAGAAGGCACGCUGACACGUAGGUGAAGUGAUUUACUCA
rnacentral:rRNA from 1 species